UACGAAGGGGGCUAGCGUUGUUCGGAUUUACUGGGCGUAAAGCGCACGUAGGCGGAUCGUUAAGUCGGGGGUGAAAUCCUGGAGCUCAACUCCAGAACUGCCUUCGAUACUGGCGAUCUUGAGUCCGGAAGAGGUGAGUGGAACUCCUAGUGUAGAGGUGGAAUUCGUAGAUCUUAGGAAGAACACCAGUGGCGAAGGCGGCUCACUGGUCCGGUACUGACGCUGAGGUGCGAAAGCGUGGGGAGCAAACAGG
rnacentral:rRNA from 1 species